rnacentral:misc_RNA from 1 species
UACCCGAAAAAACUUCCAAGACUUUUGCCAAAAACUCCAAAUCAAACAUGUUACUGGUAUACCGUACAACCCCCAGGGUCAAGGAGUAGUUGAACGUAGCUCAUCAAACAUUAAAAAAUGUACCCCUAAAUCGCUUAGCCCGCUCCCCCCUUGGGUUUUCUAUGCAACAACCCAGAAACCUUCUUAGUCAUGCCCUAUUUCAACUAAAUUUUCUACAGGUUGACAGUCAAGGGCGCUCGGCAGCUGACCGUCUAUGGCAUCCCCAAACUUCUCAGCAGCAUGCUACGGUUAUGUGGCGUGACCCUCUCACCAGUGUUUGGAAGGGCCCUGACCCUGUCCUCAUAUGGGGGCGAGGCUCAGCCUGCAUAUACGAUCAAAAGGAGGAUGGCCCCCGCUGGCUCCCUGAGCGACUAAUUAGACACAUCAAUAAUCAGACAGCCCCCUUGUGUGACAGGCCAAGUAACCCAAAUACAGCCCCAGGGCCAAAAGGCUCGCCCUGAGGAGCUCCUUUUCUCUUCUUCCAGGAAGAAUGCUCUGCAUCCUCAUCCUCCUACUGCACCCACGCC